rnacentral:rRNA from 1 species
CCCUAGUAACUGCGAGUGAAGCGGGAAAAGCUCAAAUUUAAAAUCUGGCGGUCUUUGGCUGUCCGAGUUGUAAUCUAGAGAAGUGUUAUCCGCGCUGGACCGUGUACAAGUCUCCUGGAAUGGAGCGUCAUAGAGGGUGAGAAUCCCGUCUUUGACACGGACUGCCAGGGCUUUGUGAUGCGCUCUCAAAGAGUCGAGUUGUUUGGGAAUGCAGCUCAAAAUGGGUGGUAAAUUCCAUCUAAAGCUAAAUAUUGGCGAGAGACCGAUAGCGAACAAGUACCGUGAGGGAAAGAUGAAAAGAACUUUGGAAAGAGAGUUAAACAGUACGUGAAAUUGCUGAARGGGAAACGCUUGAAGUCAGUCGCGUUGGCCGGGGAUCAACCUUGCUUUUGCUGGGCGUACUUCCCGGUUAAUGGGUCAGCAUCAAUUUUGACCGUUGGAUAAAGGUCAGGGGAAUGUGGCAUCUUCGGAUGUGUUAUAGCCCUUGGUCGCAUACAACGGUUGGGAUUGAGGAACUCAGCACGCCGCAAGGCCGGGUAUUUAUACUACGUUCGUGCUUAGGAUGCUGGCAUAAUGGCUUUAAUCGACCCGUCUUGAAACACGGACCAAGGAGUCUAACAUGCCUGCGAGUGUUUGGGUGGAAAACCCGAGCGCGUAAUGAAAGUGAAAGUUGAGAUCCCUGUCGUGGGGAGCAUCGACGCCCGGACCAGACCUUCUGUGACGGAUCCGCGGUAGAGCAUKUAUGUUGGGACCC